GACGAACUUUGGCGGCGUGCUUAACACAUGCAAGUCGAACGGAAAGGCCCUGCUUUUGUGGGGUGCUCGAGUGGCGAACGGGUGAGUAACACGUGAGUAACCUGCCCUUGACUUUGGGAUAACUUCAGGAAACUGGGGCUAAUACCGGAUAGGAGCUCCUGCUGCAUGGUGGGGGUUGGAAAGUUUCGGCGGUUGGGGAUGGACUCGCGGCUUAUCAGCUUGUUGGUGGGGUAGUGGCUUACCAAGGCUUUGACGGGUAGCCGGCCUGAGAGGGUGACCGGCCACAUUGGGACUGAGAUACGGCCCAGACUCCUACGGGAGGCAGCAGUGGGGAAUAUUGCACAAUGGGCGGAAGCCUGAUGCAGCAACGCCGCGUGCGGGAUGACGGCCUUCGGGUUGUAAACCGCUUUCGCCUGUGACGAAGCGUGAGUGAUGGUAAUGGGUAAAGAAGCACCGGCUAACUACGUGCCAGCAGCCGCGGUGAUACGUAGGGUGCGAGCGUUGUCCGGAUUUAUUGGGCGUAAAGGGCUCGUAGGUGGUUGAUCGCGUCGGAAGUGUAAUCUUGGGGCUUAACCCUGAGCGUGCUUUCGAUACGGGUUGACUUGAGGAAGGUAGGGGAGAAUGGAAUUCCUGGUGGAGCGGUGGAAUGCGCAGAUAUCAGGAGGAACACCAGUGGCGAAGGCGGUUCUCUGGGCCUUUCCUGACGCUGAGGAGCGAAAGCGUGGGGAGCGAACAGGCUUAGAUACCCUGGUAGUCCACGCUGUAAACGGUGGGUACUAGGUGUGGGGUCCAUUCCACGGGUUCCGUGCCGUAGCUAACGCUUUAAGUACCCCGCCUGGGGAGUACGGCCGCAAGGCUAAAACUCAAAGGAAUUGACGGGGCCCCGCACAAGCGGCGGAGCAUGCGGAUUAAUUCGAUGCAACGCGUAGAACCUUACCUGGGUUUGACAUGGAUCGGGAGUGCUCAGAGAUGGGUGUGCCUCUUUUGGGGUCGGUUCACAGGUGGUGCAUGGCUGUCGUCAGCUCGUGUCGUGAGAUGUUGGGUUAAGUCCCGCAACGAGCGCAACCCUUGUUCACUGUUGCCAGCACGUUAUGGUGGGGACUCAGUGGAGACCGCCGGGGUCAACUCGGAGGAAGGUGGGGAUGACGUCAAGUCAUCAUGCCCCUUAUGUCCAGGGCUUCACGCAUGCUACAAUGGCUGGUACAGAGAGUGGCGAGCCUGUGAGGGUGAGCGAAUCUCGGAAAGCCGGUCUCAGUUCGGAUUGGGGUCUGCAACUCGACCUCAUGAAGUCGGAGUCGCUAGUAAUCGCAGAUCAGCAACGCUGCGGUGAAUACGUUCCCGGGGCU
rnacentral:rRNA from 1 species